GUACACCGUACACUACUGCUUUACGUAGGUAGGGUCGUGGAACCCGGCGCUCUCUUCCAUCCUCCGAUGGGAUUUCUCUCCUCUUCCCGCAUCUUCAACCCUGACAGGAAGAAGAUGCAAGCCAGCCCCAUCCGCAUUCCAACCGUCAGCAAUGACACCGACUGGGACUUCUGCUUCCACUUGUCACAGCAAGCCAAGAAGCCAGCAUACCAGCAAAGAGAUGAACUGUAUUCAUCUAGCGGGUCUGGAGAGAGUGAAGAAGACACUAAGGCCACGGAGGAGAUGACCGUAGGCUGCAUGUCUCUUCCUGAAGACAAAUUGGCCCAAUCCCAGAAGAAAAUAGCUCAGUUGAUGAAGAAAAAAAUGAAUAUCCAAGCAAACAAGGAGCUGAUUCGCUGUGUCAUCCUUUCUCGGAUUAUUUUUGGGGAAGAACACUGGAAAUGUGCACAGGCUCUGGCCAGCCUGGCUUAUGGCUACCUGACACUGAGAGGCCUCCCAGCUCAGGCCAAGAAACAUGCUGAAUCUGCCAGGAGCACGCUGCUGACCUGGAAGGAAAACACGACCUCAAACACGGAGAAAAAGGAAAUCCUGGAAGCUCUGGUCAUGCUGUACUACACCGUGGGGGUGGCCUGGCUCCUACAGAACCAUGGCAGAGAGGCUUAUUUCAACCUGCAGAAGGCAGAGAGAAACAUGAAGGAGCUGAAAGAAUUAUGUGAGGGAAGUGUUCACAGAUUACAAGUCUCGGAGAAAGACCUGACAAUUGCUUUGGGCAGAGCCUCCUUGGCCGUCCACAGAUUGAACCUUGCUCUGGCAUACUUUGAAAAGGCAAUUGGCAAUGUUAUUGCUGCUAAGGGUGAUAGGACAUCAGAUCUGGUCAGUCUGUACGAGGAGAUUGCGCAGAUUGAGCAGCUGAGGAGGAACCAUGAUCAGGCCAUCCAGUACUUGCAGCAGGCCUAUUCUAUCUGUGUUUCUUUGUUCACUGACGUCAGCCCCCAAACUGCAGAGGCAAGUGCGUUACUAGCCAAGGCUCAUGCCCUGUCUGGAGAGGCCCAACACAGGGAUGCUGUGGAGAUAUAUUUUAUAAAAAGUAUCAGUGCAUAUCAAGCAACAUUGGGCCCAACGGAUUAUGAAACACUGACAACCAUUGAAGAAUUUUGCAAAUGGCUUGUCCAAAAUGGAGAAAAACAGGAAGCUUACAGACUGCUAAAGGCCUCACUGAAGUCUCAGGUCAUCAGCUAUGGUGAUUGUAGUGAAAAAGUGGCUGAAACUUUUUACAACAUGGGCAGGAUCUGCUUUGCCAAAGGAGACCUCAGAAAGGCGAUUCAGCUGCUAAGGAAGUGUCUGAUGAUUCAAAUCCUUUUAUAUGGAAGAGACCACAGUAAAAGCAGAGACACAAAAGACCUCCUUACCCUAAUGCAGAGGGCAAGUAGCCAUUCAUCCAGGUGGAGAAGAGAAACCAUUCCAGGACGAAGGCACUGUAUAUGCAAAGGCACCGAGGCAUGACAGAGGAGAGUGUAUCAAAGCAAUGGUCUUCUGUUAUCAGUAAAGAGAAAACCUCUAUACUGGAUAGCCAACAAUAAAGCCAACCUUGUUGAUAACAAAAAUUCUGGAUCACAAGAUAUAUUUAUCAACACUGAUAACAAUGGCAGAUCAAAAGCAGAACUAAGAACUCUAAGGGGGGGAAAAGUCUACUUAGCAGUAGCAUUACAGUUCUGGUUUUUAAAGAAGAUUCUGCAACACCUAAGUAGUUUAUUAGUGACCAUUUUAAUAUACUGUUUGGAAAUACUUUUAGUCGUAACUUGUUUCAGGUCACUAAAACUGCCUUGUGAAGAAACGUUUGAUCUCCUGAAAACAUUUGCCCUGGUCUCAUGCCAUAUUAGAGUCAGAGAGGGAUUUGAUUCUUAUAAAUGAAGAAACUAGGGACAAGAGAGAUGGAUUUGUUCAAGGUCAGCUGGGUGAUUAUAAAGCUGACUUCCUGAGUCACAGAUGAUUACUUUCCACCCCAUUAUGCUGCCCCCAACCCCAAACUGGAUUUAAAAAGGCUUGUUUUGUGGAAGGAAUCUUAACCAGGUUUGUUUAAAAAAAAAAAAAAAAAAAAAAGUCCUUACCUCCUGAACAAAUGUGUAUCUAGGAAAAGAAAACAGCAAUCUCAAAUCUCAAAUAUUCCUUACUGUCUUCUUCACAUAUUCAGGGAGAAAAGAAAAAUCGGAUUCGUGUGAGUUUUACAAAAUAAAAAACUUACUUCUCUCUUCAUCGUUUCUGUUACCUGAGCUGAUUUAAUGCAGUUCAAAGACUGUGUCUUUAGGGAUCCAAGCGUCUUCUAACAUCUCCAUAUCACUUAGUGCUUAGGGGACUACAUUUUGGUUCUUCAUGCAAAAAAUUAUUUUUUUAUUUCAGUCAUUUGCUCAGUCUGUAAAACCUAAUGAUCAACCAGUAGCCAAGGUAUGGUGGUGAGUGGCGAGUCAGUGCCUGGUCUGUAGACUGGAAGGCUUCCUCCUGGCGGCUGUGUUCUGAAUGUUUUCAGCUCAGCUCUCAGGACCAAGGUCUCAGGUUGCAGGCCUGCCUGAAGGCAGCUAUAUCUCACUGACCUUUUCUGCAGUGCUUAUCAACUGGUCACCGGUCUGUCGUUGCUAAUUUUAGCCCUGUCUGGAGAUGGGCCUGCUGUCCUUACCCAGAAUAUUCUGCACUGACUAAAGCAGCCUCAGAAGAGUUGCUUCCAUUUUCACAUAUCCGGACGAAAAUGGAUUUUCGACAAUGACUGUGAUAAAAACCAAAGUACCAGACAGAAGUGGCCGUUUGGACUCUAUUUUGUGUGGCACUAAAAGUUUUAAAAAUGUUACUAUUUUGGGAGACCCCAAAGUCUUAAGAUCUCCAGACUGACAAACCUGUAUCAAUAAGACAAUAGCAUAAAGUGUUAACAUUGUAAAAUAAAAUGUUACGGUGUGAUCUUGA